rnacentral:rRNA from 1 species
UACGUAGGGCGCAAGCGUUGUCCGGAAUUAUUGGGCGUAAAGAGCUCGUAGGCGGUUUGUCGCGUCUGUCGUGAAAGCUUGGGGCUUAACCCCAAGUCUGCGGUGGAUACGGGCAGACUAGAGGCAGGUAGGGGAGAACGGAAUUCCCGGUGUAGCGGUGAAAUGCGCAGAUAUCGGGAGGAACACCGGUGGCGAAGGCGGUUCUCUGGGCCUGUACUGACGCUGAGGAGCGAAAGCGUGGGGAUCAAACAGG